rnacentral:rRNA from 1 species
GGAAUAUUGGACAAUGGGGGAAACCCUGAUCCAGCCAUGCCGCGUGUGUGAAGAAGGCCUUUUGGUUGUAAAGCACUUUAAGCAGUGAAGAAGACUCCGUGGUUAAUACCCACGGACGAUGACAUUAGCUGCAGAAUAAGCACCGGCUAACUCUGUGCCAGCAGCCGCGGUAAUACAGAGGGUGCAAGCGUUAAUCGGAAUUACUGGGCGUAAAGGGAGCGUAGGUGGCUCGAUAAGUCAGAUGUGAAAUCCCCGGGCUCAACCUGGGAACUGCAUCUGAUACUGUUGAGCUAGAGUAUGUGAGAGGAAGGUAGAAUUCCAGGUGUAGCGGUGAAAUGCGUAGAGAUCUGGAGGAAUACCGAUGGCGAAGGCAGCCUUCUGGCAUAAUACUGACACUGAGGCUCGAAAGCGUGGGUAGCAAACAGGAUUAGAUACCCGAG